CAAUAGCGUAUAUUAAAGUUGUUGCGGUAAAAAAGCUCGUAGUUGGAUUUCUGUUGAGAGCGACCGGUCCAUACCAUGUAUGCGUAUCUGGCUUGCUCUCGGCAUCCUCUCGAUAGACGUUACUGCGCUUGAUUGCGUGGUGCGGAUCUCGGGACUUUUACUUUGAGGAAAUUAGAGUGUUCACGGCAGGCUUUCGCCAGAAUACAUUAGCAUGGAAUAAUACUAUAGGAUCUUGGUUCUAUUUUGUUGGUUUCUAGAAUUGAGAUAAUGAUUAAUAGGGACAAUUGGGGGCAUUCGUAUCAACACGUCAGAGGUGGAACUCUUGGAUUGUGUUGCGACGAACUACUGCGAAAGCAUUUGCCAAGGAUGUUUUCAUUGA
rnacentral:rRNA from 1 species